CUGCUGCAGUGCCGUGAAGAGAAGGCAUCUCUUGUAAGCAUCUUGGGAAUUACUUCAUGACAAACUGUCAUAAGCACGUGUUUUUUGUCUCUAUGCAGCCCAUAGCACAGCUUUGCCCAUAAAACAAAUCCUCCAAGUGAAAGAAGUCACAAA